UACGGAGGAUGCGAGAGUUAUCCGGAUUUAUUGGGUUUAAAGGGUGCGUAGGCGGGAUGCCAAGUCAGCGGUAAAAAUGCGGUGCUCAACGCCGUCGAGCCGUUGAAACUGGCGUUCUUGAGUGGGCGAGAAGUAUGCGGAAUGCGUGGUGUAGCGGUGAAAUGCAUAGAUAUCACGCAGAACUCCGAUUGCGAAGGCAGCAUACCGGCGCCCUACUGACGCUGAGGCACGAAAGCGUGGGUAUCGAACAGG
rnacentral:rRNA from 1 species